UGCUCUGAUGAUAACUAAUAGGAAGUGCCUUCAGAAGCGAUAACUGACGAUAACUACUCCUGGCUGACC
ensembl:snoRNA